UGAGCUCCCGGCUCGAAGAUGCAGAGCGUCGGCCGACGACGAGUUCUCCUACAACUGCCAGACCACAUCUUCGACUACCUCGUCAACAAGGAUUCAGCUGGGUGCAGAUCUGUUUGCACAGUCUGGGUGCAGAUCUAUUUCCAGGCUUUCUUUGGUCUGGAGAAUGUAGCCCAGGCUGUGGAUGAGGUAGCUGCCACUGCCAGUAGCUAUUCGGAUUUUCUUUGUGCAUUUUGUGUUCCCAUCGAAUCAAGAUCACCGUGCUGUUCGUCUAAUGAACCGUGUCCUGAUCUUGAGAUUAAAAAAGAAGGAUCGAGUACACAUGUAGUUCUGAAUAGUUUUCGAUAAACUGAAACUUGGUUGGUUUGUGUAUCCGACCUCUAAAAAAAUGGUUUGGAGGGAUAGUAGCUCACUGGUGAAACUACUAAAAUCUUUCUCUUGGAUAUUUUGAGCAUAAGUUGGCACAAAGUGUAUCUAGGCAUGUAAAACGUAAUACUCUGAAUGAGGAGCUGUAUGGUUCAGUAAAUACUCCUUCUGGUAAGUGUCCUUGCCGUUCAUCCUUAUCCAGCUUUUAUUUUCAAGUUUCGACCAUAACAUGCUAUACUAAGCAGCAACCAUCUUCUGAGCAACUUUUACUUGAAGUCUUGGACCAUAAUGUUGUACUCAUCAGAAUCAUGGGCAGGUCGACAUCAACCUAUUUUUGAUGCUGCUUGCUUACUCAACAUGUAGUAUAUUAGUAGCUUAUGUAAUGUUAAAAUAAUUAUUAUAGAUGCAGUAACAUGUAUUAGUGCAUAAACCAUUUACUUGUACACUACUCCUGAUGCAGAGCUUUGCAAAUAAUUUUCAUGGCUGUGCAUAAAUAAUCUCCAAUUCUGUUAUCCUGAAUCGUGGUGUGCUCAGGAUUCUGCUCUUCUAAUGAUGUGGUUUUGUAUAUGCUUGGUGCUCGCAGUUGACGGAGAAAAAGCUGGCAACUUCAUGCGGGAGAUAAAGGUGCAGAAGCUCGUCCUUGACAUCUCCGUCGGGGAGUCAAGAUCGCCUCAGCCGUGCGUCGAAGUAACCAUGCAGGAUACGCGAUUUGGUGGUGCUACUUUUCCCAAGACUUGAGGUUAUUUUCCUCCCCAAAUUCUAAUCCUUUAGGACUGAGAAUGUGGAUGCUUAUGCUUGUAGCAAUGUUUGAACAUGGAAUUUUCCCUUCUAAAAUAUGCAUGUUGUGGUUUUAGUACACAGAAAUCUGUUAGUACUGGUUAUGAUGUUGAACCAUGACCCUGGAUCUUUUCCCUUGUUGGUAAUAUUUAGUAUAUUUUCAAACCUUGAUAUUGGACCUUA